GAUGAACGCUGGCGGCGUGCUUAACACAUGCGAGUCGAACGAUGAAGCCCAGCUGGCUGGGUGGAUUAGUGGCGAACGGGUGAGUAACACGUGAGUAACCUGCCCUUAACUCUGGGAUAAGCCUGGGAAACUGGGUCUAAUACCGGAUAGGAGCGUCCACCGCAUGGUGGGUGUUGGAAAGAUUUAUCGGUUUUGGAUGGACUCGCGGCCUAUCAGCUUGUUGGUGAGGUAAUGGCUCACCAAGGCGACGACGGGUAGCCGGCCUGAGAGGGUGACCGGCCACACUGGGACUGAGACACGGCCCAGACUCCUACGGGAGGCAGCAGUGGGGAAUAUUGCACAAUGGGCGCAAGCCUGAUGCAGCGACGCCGCGUGAGGGAUGACGGCCUUCGGGUUGUAAACCUCUUUCAGUAGGGAAGAAGCGAAAGUGACGGUACCUGCAGAAGAAGCACCGGCUAACUACGUG
rnacentral:rRNA from 1 species